UUUCUGAAAUGGGAGACUCUUCUGUGUCAUAUCCACUCCGCUGCGCUCUUCAUUUAUUUUAAAGCCGAUUCAGUUUCACCAAGACAGGAACCGGUUUUGCUCUUGACGCGGGAGUUCCUUUUGACGCAGUUACUUUUUUAUUUCGUUUAGCAUAACAUAAGUUGAUAAAUAGGGAAAUGCACAAUUCAGUCCAUGUGGCAGAGUAAUCCACAGGUUUCGAUCGGACAUUUCGGUGGGCGCUGUCAUUGACACCUUCAGACCUGGACUGAUCGGACCAGGCACCAUGGAACAAGAGGACCCACGGCUUUCUGACCACGCACUGCAGUUUCUGGAGAUGGACCCCCUCUCCUGGGUAGGAAUGGACCCUCUGAGUUUCACCCCCAUGGCUCAGGCUGAGCCUCUGCGGCUAGGUAAGACCCAUGAACCCAACAGCACAGCAGCAUACGGUGCGUCUAUGUAUAUAAACAUUAAAAACAGCAACAAUGAGUCAACUUGUGAGUGAAUUUCAUCUGUAUCUCUUGAGAAUUUUUUCCCAAGCCGCUUUUGCCCACAAGUAGUGAACCGAUGGUUUUAGGGGUACCCCAGUAGUUACUUUAAUCGAAACCUUGUGGCUUUGUCUCUUCAGCCGUUGACAAGCACGGGGAGGGCUCAGGUUCCCAAAAUUUUGUUGUGUUUAGAACGUCUGCUUUACCCCCACACCCUAUCGCUCUGGGCUAUUUUCUGCUCAUACUCUCACUUCCCCUUUCUCCAAGCGCUUGAACCCUCGCUCAUACCCCCAUUGACUGUGCAAAGUUGCGUCGACCACGGCAAGGCAGCAGAUGGAGACAGGUAGCCUUCCUUCCCAGUUUUGGACCAAUGGAAGGCAUCACUGAUUCUAGUGGUCCAGAAUCCUGCACGUUUUAGGUCCCUAACCCUAAAUUAUACCCAAGA